CCAAUAGCGUAUAUUAAAGUUGUUGCAGUUAAAAAGCUCGUAGUUGAAUUUCGGGAUUUGUCAGUUGGUCGGGCUUCAUUGUCCGUACUGACUUGAUGGAUUCUUACCUUCUGAAUAGCCAGCAUGCUAUUAAGUUAGUGCGUUGGGGAAGCAGAUCUAUUACCUUGAAAAAAUUAGAUUGCUUAAAGCAGGCUAGUGCUUGAAUAGAUUAGCAUGGAAUAAUAAAAUAGGACGGCAUGGUUCUAUUUUGUUGGUUUCUAGGAUCACCGUAAUGAUUAAUAGGGAUAGUUGGGGGCAGUAGUAUUCAAUUGUCAGAGGUAAAAUUCUUGGAUUUAUUGAAGACUAACUUCUGCGAAAGCAUUUGCCAAGGAUGUUUUCAUUAAUCAAGAACGAAAGUUAGGGGAUCGAAGACGAUCAGAUACCGUCGUAGUCUUAACCAUAAACUAUGCCGACUAGGAAUCGGACGAUGUUAAUUUUUUAAUGACUCGUUCGGCACCUUACG
rnacentral:rRNA from 1 species